UGGAAAGAUAUGAAGCAAAAAGGAGUGAUGCUUGGUUCUUAGAUUCUGCUUGCUCAAACCAUAUGUGUGCAAGUAGUGAAUGUAUU